UUAAUCUUUUUCAAAUCCAUCACAUGAAUUAUCCGAGCUUAGAUUUUGCUAAAUUGAAAUACACUGAUGCAUAUCUCCUACUAAUUUGGAGGGAUCGAUCCCAUCUUGACUCAUACACCGACUUGACAAGUACUUGACUAUACCCAAAAUUCUUUCAUCAUUGAAUUAAAAACUCAGUUAGUCCAGUAUCAAAGUACAGUGAGUUGCUUGUAAGUCACUGUGGUGAUCUCAG
rnacentral:lncRNA from 1 species